rnacentral:lncRNA from 1 species
CUAACUCUUAAAUGUAUAAUACAUUCAAUAAUAGAUUUUUGAAAAAUAGACUUACCCAGAAACCAUAAAUUCAAAUCUUCCCCUCUAAAUGCAAAGAGCCAGAGCUAGCAAAGUACAAACAUUCAUUUAUUUACUGACUCAUUCUUUCAUUUUAUAAAUAUCAAGUGCUAGGCACUGUUUCAGGUCUUAUGGACAUAGUAGUAAAUAAAUACAUUAGGCAAGAUUUAUGCAAUUUAAGUAAAAAUUUGUGUUUUUGACACUUGGAAAUUUUUAUAUAGCAAAGAUGAUCCUUAUUGUCAUUUUCCUUUGAUUUCAUAUUAACCCAUCCUCAAACAACCAGGCCAUUCUUUGCAUCUAAAUUCUAGAUAUAUAAUCCCAAGGAUGGCUAUGAUUUUUCCCUUCUUUUAGGAUUACAAAGUUCGUUUAAGAAGUCUGUUGUAGAAGUAACUUGAUCAACUCUAAUCUGAACCUUACCAGGCUCUAAAUUAAACCUGACCACAAUGAACAGCUUUUACUGAUGAAAUUAGCAAGCAUGUCAAUUUAGACUUAAAACAAGCCAUUUUCCUCUCUAAUGAACAAAAUAGGUCUCAGGGUAUUGUGAAACCUGUUCUCUAGUUGGGUGAUUCUCUAAUUCUGCUGACAGACACAUACUUUGUAAGCACCUGAG